rnacentral:rRNA from 1 species
ACGAACGCUGGCGGCGUGCCUAAUACAUGCAAGUUGAGCGCUGAAGGUUGGUACUUGUACCAACUGGAUGAGCAGCGAACGGGUGAGUAACGCGUGGGGAAUCUGCCUUUGAGCGGGGGACAACAUUUGGAAACGAAUGCUAAUACCGCAUAAAAACUUUAAACACAAGUUUUAAGUUUGAAAGAUGCAAUUGCAUCACUCAAAGAUGAUCCCGCGUUGUAUUAGCUAGUUGGUGAGGUAAAGGCUCACCAAGGCGAUGAUACAUAGCCGACCUGAGAGGGUGAUCGGCCAAAUUGGGACUGAGACACGGCCCAAACUCCUACGGGAGGCAGCAGUAGGGAAUCUUCGGCAAUGGAAGAAAGUCUGACCGAGCAACGCCGCGUGAGUGAAGAAGGUUUUCGGAUCGUAAAACUCUGUUGGUAGAGAAGAACGUUGGUGAGAGUGGAAAGCUCAUCAAGUGACGGUAACUACACAGAAAGAGACGGCUAACUACGUG